AGAUUGAACGCUGGCGGCAUGCUUUACACAUGCAAGUCGAACGGUAACAGGCCGCAAGGUGCUGACGAGUGGCGAACGGGUGAGUAAUGCAUCGGAACGUGCCCAGUCGUGGGGGAUAACGCAGCGAAAGCUGUGCUAAUACCGCAUACGAUCUAUGGAUGAAAGCGGGGGACCGAAAGGCCUCGCGCGAUUGGAGCGGCCGAUGUCAGAUUAGCUAGUUGGUGGGGUAAAGGCCCACCAAGGCGACGAUCUGUAGCUGGUCUGAGAGGACGACCAGCCACACUGGAACUGAGACACGGUCCAGACUCCUACGGGAGGCAGCAGUGGGGAAUUUUGGACAAUGGGCGCAAGCCUGAUCCAGCAAUGCCGCGUGCAGGAAGAAGGCCUUCGGUGUAAACUGCUUUUGUACGGAACGAAACGGUCUGGUUAAUACCUCGGCUAAGUGACGGUACCGUAAGAAUAAGCACCGCUAACUACGUGCCAGCAGCCGUA
rnacentral:rRNA from 1 species